CCCUUAGACGUUCUGGGCCGCACGCGCGCUACACUGACACAGGCAACGAGCUUUCCUUUACCGAAAGGUAUGGGUAAUCUUUUGAAACUGUGUCGUGCUGGGGAUAGAUCCUUGCAAUUUUUGAUCUUAAACGAGGAAUUCCUAGUAAGCGCGAGUCAUCAACUCGCGUUGAUUACGUCCCUGCCCUUUGUACACACCGCCCGUCGCUACUACCGAUUGAAUGGCUUAGUGAGACCUCAGGAUCCGCGCUUAAUGUGUGGAGAAUUUGGACAAACUACGUCAUUUAGAGGAAGUAAAAGUCGUAACA
rnacentral:rRNA from 1 species